GGCGAAUUAGCUCAGUCGGUUAGAGCGGCGGAAUCAUAAUCCGCAGGUCCUGGGUUCGAAUCCCUGAUUCGCCACCA
rnacentral:tRNA from 1 species